rnacentral:lncRNA from 10 species
GCCCGCAGCCGUCACCCCAGCUGAUGAUGCCGUAGAGCAUGAACCCUGUGUGGACCACACAGCCACCCUGUGUCCCAGCACCUCCUGAAAUGACUUCUUCACUCCCUGGAAAACUCCUACGCAUCACUCAGGACCAGUGCAAACACUCCCUCCUCCAGGAAACCAUCCUGACUUCCCUUAUCGAGGUCCAGUGACAAGCCCUACCCACUCUACCACUCCUGGGCUUUGUGGCCUUGGAAGAGUGAAUUGACUGCCUGGGGCUCAGUCUCCCCAGCUAUAAAAUGGGGCAUAAGAGAGCCGUCGCAUGCCAGGGUUGCCGUGCCGCCUGAGCACACAGGCCUGCAGAGCCCAGGACGUGGUUGGGCUGUUGGGCUUAUUGAAGGUUGAAGAACUUAUUGAAGGUUGAAGAGCUGGCUUGAGAGAACUCGGGGCAAAGGGGCCUUUGGUGCCUAGUGUCACACGGAAAGCACUGCCUUGGGCUGGACAGCCAGGAACUGUCCGGGCUCUGUGGGACCCCAGGCCCCUCUCAGAGCCUGGGUCUCCCCUUCUGUGUGAGGAGGAUGCCCUUCCGGCAGGGCUCUGGGUGGCCCUGGGGUGCUGGCCACCGACAGUAAGUGUGCUCCCUGCCCAGGGGUCCCUGGCUGGCCCUGCCAGGUUGGGGUGCCGCCAGGCUCUGGGCUCCCCAGGGGCAAGCAUCUCGGAGACUCAGGACCAGC